GCCAGGUGCGGUGGCACUUGCCUGUAAUCCCCGCAUCUCGGGAGGCUGAGGCAGGAGGAUCAGGAGUUCAGAGCCAGCCUCAGCAAAGCGAGGUGCUAAGCAACUCAGAUCCUGUCUCUA
rnacentral:sRNA from 1 species